GCUGCACCGACCCAGCGGGGCGUGGGGAGGCCCCCGCGUGGCGCAGCGGCACGUUCGCCGCGGGUCACAUCCCGGGCUGGACGGGAGCGCCACGUGCAGUGUCGGAGAGACAGCCCCGGGCGGGCCCUAGGCACCUGGGCAUCCAGAGGGGCCGAGGUGGUAACGAAUCCCAAGGGCUUUCUCGCUGGGGAGAGAGCAACAAGAGAGGCCUGCCUUGUGUGCUUCUGAGGCAGCCCCACCUGCGAUGCUGUCUUGAGCUGGACUCUCAGUUCUGGAAAGAUAUUUGGCAAACUGGAGGGUGCUCGGGGAGGUGCUGUGGGUGGCUGGAAGAGUCACACACCGGUUCAAAGAAGUCUGUUUCCCUAGCUUUCUCGAAGUUGUGACAUGAGAGGUUGGUAGCUGACAAAUAGCUGAAGGGCCUAAACCUCUACUAAGCAAAUACACUCUCAUUCAUCACAGAAACUAAUGUAACUAAAAGGAAUGAGAUAAAGGGAAUGAAAAGUGGUGUUGGGUGCCCUCACUCUGUGGUGGAAGAAGCUGUGAGACUGGAAACACCAUUCUUCAGAACACUUUACAUUGGAAAACCUAUGUGGACAUAGAGAUAAAAUAGUUUUGCCUGGGUGACUGUGCAGGGGAUGUAAAACUCAGGACUUUUUUUUUCCAUUCCCUGCUUUGUCCCUGUAUUGUGCAACUUUGAGCAGGUCCCUUAGCUCCCUAUGCUGCAGUUUUCCCAUCUAUAAAACAAGGGUGAAUAUAUCUAUAUUGAGGGAUUUUGAAGUUAAAGUACCUUGUCUGCAGUAUACUUUAAAGCCUUGGUACUGUAUGUAAGUGCUAAGCGUCACAUGUACCAUAAAUUACACAUGGUCUAUCUUAUAUCUGGAUGGGCACACACAUGUGCCUCUGUGCUGAACAUCUCUAGAGAAGCAUUUCUGCUUAGCUGGGUGUAGCUAGUUCCCUGCUAAGGCAUAGGCAUCCUAUUAGAAGGAUGCCCUGAACUGAUAUAUCAUUCCAGUAACUACCAGGUGGGUGAGAUAAUGAGGAAUGUUUAUUAGUUAAUAGCUUGGACACACCCCCAAUGCUUCAUCUAGAAUAGAAACUGUUGCAGAAUUAAAUCACUGUUAAGAUCAAUGUACACCACAGAGAAUAGCGUCAGCUGAUCUGUAUAUGCUACAUAUGCAAUGAUUGAGUGUCCCUAGCAGUGGUAUGGGACCAAAGAAGAAUUUUCAUAGACAAAAGAUGUGAACUUGAAGUUUCUUGGAUUUUGUGAACUUGGAACGGUUAGAUAAUAGGAUCUAUUUAAGUUGUAUCCCUUUCGCUCUUCCAGCCUGAGUGGCUAUUGCUGCUGCUAAAUAAAGUUGCUUUGUCUUAACUAUUGAUUUAACAAAAGGCAUUGUUUUAAACCAGUGAAAACUAGAGUUCCUUGAAAAUGCUGAUAUUAGCAAGCAGGAACUCAACAGGCUAGUAAUCUAAUGCAGUGUUUCUCAACCUCUUUUUAUAAAGUACCCCUUUUAAAAAAAUUUAAAAAGUACCUCAGUACCUACAGAUUUCAGACACACAAUUUUUUUUCUACAGUUGCAACACAUUUGUUUAAACUACUUAAUCGUAGCUGCAAAGGCGAUUAUUAUUUUUGUACUUUUUACACCCAAAAAUUUCAAACGCUGUAAAACUUAACUGAAAUUUGGAGAAAACUGAAUUUUUUAUUUAAUAUUGACAUACACCCCCCCUCCUCUCCCCCCAGAUUUCUCUCAAGUACCCCAAGGGUACUCUUACCACUGGUUGAGAAACACUGUUCUAGUGGCCUUUUUGCCCUGUUGAUCUCCAUUUCCAUGUGUGAAAAUUAGUGUUUGCUGCAUAUAGUUUUUUAUUCAUGGUUAGAAGUGAUAUGUAAGUACUGUAACCAGUUUUGAUCUGGGGGCCUGGCCUACACCGCAAAGUUAAACAGAUAUAUAAGCCACCUUGCCUUGAUCUAGUUGUGUGUGUGUGUGUGUCUACACUUAAUUUUGUUUCCCAUUGACAUAGUAACACUGCCUUUCUGAGCAGCAUAGAGCCACAAUGGGUGUUGCAUAAGUGCAGUCCUAGUCUAGCAGAUAUCCCAUAAUGUCUGAUGUUGGUCCACUAUUCAAGUGUCACACAGUGCACAAGGCCCCACAAAUUUGUUUUCACGGCUGUCUGGGUUAGCAUCCCCCAUUGUUGUGUGCACCACAUUGGCUGCAUGCUCUAUAUAUGCCCUUGCUUGGCAUAGAUAUAUUGGAUCUCCUAAGGUUAUGGGGAGAAGAGGCUGUGCAAGUACAGCUAUGGUUGAGUUGUAGAAAUGCUGACAUCUCUGAGGGGCUUAUUUAGGGCGUGAAGAAGAUUGAGACCAGAAACAGAUGCCUCGUGAAAGUGAGGGAGUUGUGGCAGGCAUAUCAGAAGGCCAGGGAGGCCAACAGUCAAUAUAGUGUUGAGUUGCAGACCUGCCACUUAUACAAAGAGCUGUAUACGAUACUUGGUAGAACCACCACAGCCCUGCACACUACUGUCAAUACUCAGGACCCUGGUCUGAACAGCAAAGAGGAUGGAGGAGUCUGCACCUGGAAAGUCCCAAUUGUGCCAUGAGCCAGGACCUGUUUGAGACUUCACUGCAGUCUAGUCAGUCUUGGCAAUCAAGCACAAAUGAACCCAAUGCAGGGGAAGGAAUCUCAGCUGCUACCACUGCAUCCUUGCAGCUUUCCGCAUCGCACCUCUGGAACACCUGAGCCAGAUAAAGAAAGAAGAUGACCUGUUAGUGAGAUCCUGCAUGCCAGUGCUGCAACAGAGCAUGAGCAAAGGGCCUAGAGGGUCAACAUUGCAGAUAGCCUAGAGAAAGGAAGAAUGGAGAGGAGGGGCCCAGGAGUCUCAGCUGGUAAAGGAGAGUGAAAUGCACCAGGACAUAAUGGGGCUUUUCAGGCAGCAAUCUCAGAUACUGCAGGUGCUGAUGGACCUACAGGCUCAACAGUUUCUGGGCUCACUUUCCUCAGCAGCCCAUUGAGAACUCCAUUAUCAAACAUCCCUGCACCCUUUG